rnacentral:rRNA from 1 species
GUGGGGAAUAUUGCGCAAUGGGCGAAAGCCUGACGCAGCGACGCCGCGUGAGGGAUGAAGGUUUUCGGAUCGUAAACCUCUGUCAGAAGGGAAGAAACUACGUUGUGCUAAUCAGCAGCGUACUGACGGUACCUUCAAAGGAAGCACCGGCUAACUCCGUGCCAGCAGCCGCGGUAAUACGGAGGGUGCAAGCGUUAAUCGGAAUUACUGGGCGUAAAGCGCACGUAGGCUGUAGUGUAAGUCAGGGGUGAAAUCCCACGGCUCAACCGUGGAACUGCCUUUGAUACUGCACAACUUGAAUCCGGGAGAGGGUGGCGGAAUUCCAGGUGUAGGAGUGAAAUCCGUAGAUAUCUGGAGGAACAUCAGUGGCGAAGGCGGCCACCUGGACCGGUAUUGACGCUGAGGUGCGAAAGCGUGGGAGCAAACAGGAUUAGAUACCCCGGUAGUCC